AUUGAACGCUGGCGGCAGGCUUAACACAUGCAAGUCGAGCGGGGGAAGGUAGCUUGCUACUGGACCUAGCGGCGGACGGGUGAGUAAUGCUUAGGAAUCUGCCUAUUAGUGGGGGACAACAUCUCGAAAGGGAUGCUAAUACCGCAUACGUCCUACGGGAGAAAGCAGGGGAUCUUCGGACCUUGCGCUAAUAGAUGAGCCUAAGUCGGAUUAGCUAGUUGGUGGGGUAAAGGCCUACCAAGGCGACGAUCUGUAGCGGGUCUGAGAGGAUGAUCCGCCACACUGGGACUGAGACACGGCCCAGACUCCUACGGGAGGCAGCAGUGGGGAAUAUUGGACAAUGGGGGGAACCCUGAUCUAGCCAUUCCGCGUGUGUGAAGAAGGCCUUAUGGUUGUAAAGCACUUUAAGCGAGGAGGAGGCUACUUUAGUUAAUACCUAGAGAUAGUGGACGUUACUCGCAGAAUAAGCACCGGCUAACUCUGUGCCAGCAGCCGCCGUAAAAC
rnacentral:rRNA from 1 species